GUCCACGCUGUAAACGAUGGGCACUAGGUGUCGCGGGUAUUGACCCCUGCGGUGCCGCAGCUAACGCAUUAAGUGCCCCGCCUGGGGACUACGGCCGCAAGGCUAAAACUCAAAGGAAUUGACGGGGGCCCCGCACAAGCGGUGGAGCAUGUGGUUCAAUUCGACGCAACGCGAAGAACCUUACCCGGGCUAGACAACAGAGGACCGUCUUAGAAAUAAGGCCUUCCCUUCGGGGACCUCUGGUUCAGGUGCUGCAUGGCUGUCGU
rnacentral:rRNA from 1 species